GACGAAGGGGGCUAGCGUUGUUCGGAAUUACUGGGCGUAAAGCGCGUGUAGGCGGUUGUUCAAGUCAGGUGUGAAAGCCUUGAGCUCAACUCAAGAAAUGCACUUGAUACUGGAUGACUAGAGGACCGGAGAGGAUAGUGGAAUUCCCAGUGUAGUGGUGAAAUACGUAGAGAUUGGGAAGAACACCAGUGGCGAAGGCGGCUAUCUGGACGGUUUCUGACGCUAAGACGCGAAAGCGUGGGGAG
rnacentral:rRNA from 1 species